rnacentral:rRNA from 1 species
UACGUAGGGUGCGAGCGUUGUCCGGAAUUAUUGGGCGUAAAGAGCUCGUAGGCGGUGUGUCACGUCGGCCGUGAAAACCUGCAGCUUAACUGUGGGCGUGCGGUCGAUACGGGCAUCACUGGAGUUCGGCAGGGGAGACUGGAAUUCCUGGUGUAGCGGUGAAAUGCGCAGAUAUCAGGAGGAACACCGGUGGCGAAGGCGGGUCUCUGGGCCGAUACUGACGCUGAGGCACGAAAGCGUGGGUAGCAAACAGG